AGAGUUUGAUCCUGGCUCAGGAUGAACGUUGGCGGCGUGCCUAAUACAUGCAAGUCGAACGGUAGUUGAGCAUUCGUGCUUGAUGAGAGUGGCGAACGGGUGAGUAACACGUAACUGAUCUGCCCUUUAGACUGGGAUAACCUUUGGAAACAGAGGCUAAUACCGGAUGAGUUCGCGGUAGUUAGAGAGCCGUGAGGAAAGGCAAAUGCGCUAAGGGAUGAGGUUGCGGGCCAUCAGCUAGUUGGUGAGGUAAAGGCUCACCAAGGCGAUGACGGUUAGGGGAUCUGAGAGGGUGGCCCCCCACACUGGGACUGAGACACGGCCCAGACUCCUACGGGAGGCAGCAGUAAGGGAUAUUGCACAAUGGACGGAAGUCUGAUGCAGCGACNCCGCGUGGGUGAANAAGGUUUUCGGAUCGUAAAGCCCUUUUCUAUGUGACGAGAGAGGACGGU
rnacentral:rRNA from 1 species